CCUCUAUGAACUGUAAGCCAAAUAAACCCCUUCCCCUUUAACUCUGGGUGUCUGGUAUUUUGGAGAGAAAAGUAACUAACACGGAGGCGCUCUGGGGACUGUGAACUACAAUUCCCAGGAAGCAUUGCAACAAGAAGGCGGCCUAGGCAAGCUCUCAAGUGCUGAUGGGAGUAGUAGUUCUUAGGCGCUGAUGCCCCCUGACCCGGGGAAGGCAGAUCCCAGGAGCUCACGCUUGUUGGGGUUGAUGAUCUGGAAGUUCUUGACCGAGGCUCGAGUCACUCGCCCGUGAAAAUUGAGCACGAAGGCGUCGCUCUCAUCGCUCCACACCGGUGGUUUGUUUUGCAGCAGGACCACCCCCUGCCUGACGCCCCUUUGGAAGCGACUCAGUAUCGAUUCCUCUUCCUUUGAAGCCAUGGAGCCAGGCCUGGGCUUAGCUCAGGCAGGGCCUGGCUUGAAGAACUGAAGAACGGGGAAGAGUCCCUGAACAUGGCAGCAAGACUCGGUCUGAAUCUGAGCAAGCAAAAAGGCUCUUUUCGGGAAGAAGUGAGGGAAAAGAAGGAGGAAGGGAGGAAGAGACAGAGAGGAGAGGCAGCCACACUGGGAGGAGACUGGGCACACUGAGGGAUCAAACUCGGGUCCUUGCACUUGCGCAGCAGGCGGCGAAACCACUGAGCUAAAUCCCUGGCCCAGGCAUGACUGACUGUUAAUCACAAGGUCCCCGAACACAUGCUCAGAAUAGCUCCCAAAGCCCUGCACGUGAAUUUCUGGAGAGAACUCAAGCAGGUUUCAAAAGAAUGCUCUAGACUUGAUGUCAGCCUGAGGCGUGGGAUCCCAGCACUGUCCCUCAGGACAGUGGAAGUUCUCUGGGAUUUGGACAGCAAAAAAGAACACCAACACCUAGAAGCGCUCACUGUAGUGCCCUUCCUCACAACAGCCACCUGGCGUCUGCCAGUGUGCACCUUUAUCUUGUUUUUUUCCUCUUUUAUUCAGCCCAAGCUCACUCUGCAAAGCCAGUUUUUCCCUUACUCUUCACUUUUACUUUUUCAAAUAAACUUUGCUACCGUUUUUCA